CGUGCGACCAUGCAGUAUGUUUCCUGUUAAUUCAAAAGAUUUUCCGAGAAAGACAACACCACUUUCAACAGGCUGCACAGGGUCUGAGUUCGGCGUUGAGGAGGGCGUGGCCGAGGAGGACAGCUCUUUAGCGCCGAGUGACAAGAGAUGCUUCAGGAAGCCAGCAGCGCACCGGGGGCAGAGCCAAGUGUGCUGAGGAGCUCCCGCUCUCUCUCUCUCUCUCUCUAUCAGGUG